ensembl:lincRNA Gm43242 predicted gene 43242
GGAUGAGUCACACAGGAGGCUUCAUGAUUCACUCAGAGCUCACAUGCAGACAGCUCUGACAAUGUCACCUGAAGAGAAGACACCCAGGAGAGUAAAGCUAGCAUCCUGCCACCCUUUGGUGACCUUGGUGACCUGGCCAAAGUCUACUUCCCAGACUUCUGAUUCUGGAAAGAUGGGGUAGAUGUGUUGUUAUUCUCUCGUUUGGACACCACUGGGUGCAGACGUAAGACCCAACACAAACCUGCAGGCUCCAGCAAAUGCACCAUCAAAGCAGUAGCCACCUUCCAAGACCAAAGUACUCUACACGGAAACUGUUCUAUUCCAGUCAAAUAUCAAAUAAAAGUCUAAAGUCCAUAAGGCCAACAACUCCAGCUAGGACCAAGGUUACAGUACGACAGUAUGUCUACCCUCUCUAGGUUGUAACACGGCAUCUAACCACACUUGCUUUUAGUGUGGUUCCCAAGGAACGCACUAAGGGGAGUUGAGACAUCUGUACCUCUGUUAUCUAAAAAGAGGGCAAGUCUCCAACACUCUGAGUUCCCACAUCAAAAAUCUAUGAAGGCAAAAGAAAAAAAUAACCUGAGGAAACUGAAGAAAGAAAACAGUAUAGAUAAGAACGUAAAUCAGUGACACUGAAAACUUAAAAGCAAUAGAGAAAAUCGGGCUCUCAGAGAGGAUCAACAAAGUGGGCAGACAUCUAGCAGGACUGACAGAAGUGGGAAGACACCGACCAGCAACAUCAAAGAUGGAGCGGGUACCGGCUCUAGAGCCCAGACAUGAAAAGGACAAGAGGAGUCACCACAGUCAACACCCCACAUUCACCCAGAAUGUCAGGCAUUUCUACUAUGUAUCCGAGGCUAGCUCAUUGUGUGAAAAUCAAUCAGCAAAAUCCACAACAAAAAUUAAAGAACAACUACAUCGUCAUUUUAAUUUAUUUGUGUGUGUGUACAGACACAUACACAUGAACAUAUGUACACAUACAUGCACAUGGCCACAAAAGCCAGAAGGCAGCACCAGAUUCUCUGGAACUGGAGUUUCAGGCUGUUGGGAGCCAUCUGACGUGUACGCCGGGAUAUCAGCAGGGAUAUAGCAUGUUCUUAAUUGGACAAUUUGACUUAAUAAAGAUAUGUUUCUAAGUCCCUAAUGCCAGCUUAGAAAAACCCUGUCUAUGGGCUUGCCACGGCUCCCUCCCUGUUCCUCCUCUUCAGGAAUGCUCCCCUGGCUUUUUUGGGAGUCAGAGAACUCUCUUUUUCAUUUCUGUAUCGAAUUGCCUGUGCCCCACCACAUCAGGUGUGGAGAUAUCUGAGGUAACCAUGUCAGCACAUUGUCAUCAGGUCAGAGGUCACCACGUCAGGGCUCACCAAGUUCCCGAGGGGGAGAGCACUAUGGAAACCAUUUCCAAGGACAUAACAGGAAAGAGAGACGCUCUGUAAGAGGCAGAGGAUUUUUUCCCCUUAGAAGUACUUUAAAAGGAAAAUUUUGUGCUUUUACUUACAUUUUAUAUUUUGCGCAUAUUGUUAGGAUUUAUGUGUUCCCUGACUCUCACAAAGCUUCGGGCAUUUUUAAAAAUGAUGUUGGGCGAUCAAACAUGCCUCGGAACACCACCACCUCACUUUUUCAUGAACUUUGCUGUACUAUAGGGCAGGUAGCACCCCAAGAUUGUUAAGAGGGACCAAGGAGGAUACAAGAUUGCUUUGUAUCUCUCUCUCUCUCUCUUUUUUGUCUAUGAUGUUUGAUGGAUGUGUGAAAUAAUGUCCAGCAUUAAACAAGACUUUUGAUUUU